AAUCUCCCAGUUUCCCCCGGGACUCUACAAUCCGGCCUAACAUCUCAACAAAAUUCAAGGGCUCUCCUGCCCAUGGAAACCAGAUCCUCUGAAAUCCCACAUGGAUUCAGCAAGCCUGGAGGGGUCUCUUCCCAGCCAGUCUUAGACCUGCUUCCCCCUGGCUUCUCCCUUUCCAAGGACUUCCAGACCAUCCACAGGGGCGAACGCGUGCAAAGCACGACGGGAGUUGUAGUCCUGCAAACUCUGGCGCUACCGUGGGAAAAACGAGUUACUGGGGCCAGCCGGCACUACUAAUAAGAUGGCGAAAGGCAUGCCACGCUGGGAGCCGAGCAUGGCGGGAAUUAUAGUCCAGUUGACCCGAGACUCCCCGUAGCAGGACAUAGAAGGAGCAGGAACGAUGACUACAAACAAGAUGGCCUUUUCCCCCGACCCGACCUCCUUUCCAGGCACUCACACGCCCUCUGGUCCACAACCCUCCGCGUGUGUGAUACCUGACGGGAGUCGCAGUCCAUCUGCUGCCUUCCCGCUGCCAUGUCUACUCGUCAGGAACAAUGGAAAGGUGAAAAAGGAACGAGGACUACAAGCAAGAUGGCGAACGAGGGCAUACGCCUAAUAAAUCGAUUUUAUGAAGUUGGGAUGGGAAUAGUAGUUUUCCAACCUUCCUAUGUUCCUUAAGAAUGCCAGAACCAGGAGGAUAACGAGACUACCAUAAAGAUGGCAGGCUACCUAACCUUUCCUGGCUACUUCAUUCUACCACUCGGAGCUCCUCGCCCGCCCGGACUAUCAGAAUCCCGCACUCAGUAGCGCAAAGCAGGGCGGGAAUUGUAGUCUCCCCCGGUCCCCUCUUUUAUCUUCUGUCCAGACAAUGGAAGUGGGUGGGGCGGGGCCUAUCGCAAAGAUGGAGGGUGAAGGAGCAGACGGUGCUAUGGGAUUUGUAGUCCAACCGCUAAGACUAGUCUCGGCGGAUAUGUUGGAAAGGACUACUGCGGAGAUGGCGACCUAGUCGCUUGCCCUCGGUGCCAGUACCUGCUGGGGUAUGUAGUCUCUUCUUUAGCUGUACAGAGAAAGGACGCUCCUGUUGAAAUAUGUAUCGACGCGAACACGCCAAAUCGCAGGCGGACGGAAACGGAAAGUCUCUUUCCUCCUGGCCUCCUUUUCUAAAGGGCUUGCAGGGAAAUGUAGUCCCAAGCUUUCAUUCUCCAGUGGAGGAGACCUGGUGUCACCUGUGGGAAUCAGUGCGGGUGAGAGAGAGGUAGCGGGGGUGAUCAGGGAGUAGAGAACGUCCGCCUUCUCGGAUGGUGAGGAUUUUAUAUUGGGGGGGGGAAGCAACCAUAACCAGUAUUGCAGCGAGAAGGGAGGCGUGGUUCUCCCCAGAAAGUACUCCCAC